rnacentral:lncRNA from 1 species
UCGUCUCUGUCACGCCGGCGCCUCCUCUGUUUCAGGUAAGUCCCUGUCUCUCUCUCUACUUCUGUCUCUGCUCUCUCCCUCGAACUCCCUCUUUCUCUGCCCUCUCUCGCUCUCUCGCUCUGUCCAGGGCGCGGCGGCCGCCGCAAGCCACGACGGCGCUUCCAGCGCCGGUGCUCGCUGCCGCCUGCUCCGCUCCUCUCUCCUUCUAGCUCGUUCUGCCUUUCUCCCUUCUUCCUGCUGUCUGUUUCUAUCUCACACUCUAUCUCACUAUCUCUCACUCAAUCUCUCUGUUGGUAGCCACUGCGGACCGCCGUGGCGCAGGCAACGCCGGCAGUCGCGCCUUUGCCGCGGUGGCUCGCGUCUGCUGCUGCCGCUUGCCUCUUCUUCCUCCUCUGUUUCUGUUUCUCUUACCUUCUUUCUUUUCUAGUUUAAUAGCUUGUUUGGCAAAUCCCUAACUAUUUCCUUAUCUCAGGAAUCGAUGAUUCAACUCCGGCGAGGCAGCCCGCCUCCUGAUCAAUGCUCAAGAUUCUAUUUUUUUCUACCUUUCUUAUUGUAAAUUUAUGUUCUUUCAUUGAUUGAUUAUUGAAAAACUGAAGCUGUAAUGGUUGGGGAAAUCGUACUGUGCUUAUAGAAAUUAGAGUUAGAGAUAUCUGUUUGUCUUAACUGGUGUAGCUAUGUCUGUUUUCACUGCUUUUCUUUACAUAAAGAAUCUACUGUAUUGAAAGAAAGACUACCUUCUUUGAUGUCUCCACAACUACCUUCUUUGAUGUCUGCUGUGGAGGAUGUGUGUUUGAAUGGAUGAUUGCUGCGUGUUUAAGAUUGCAGAAUGAGGAAGGAAAAGGUUUAACGUGAGAGGUGAGGGGAUUUAAACAAGCUGAAGUCGGUUGUGGAGUAGCUGCGUAAAAGCUACAAGAAACGUGUUCCUCUGUGAGCUAAUCAGGCUUAAUAAAUCUAAUUAGCAAUUUAAAACUCUAAUUAAAAGAUAUAAAAUUGGGCUUGGGCCCUUUUUAUAUGACAAUAUUCCUGGCCCAAAUAAAUACU